rnacentral:misc_RNA from 1 species
GAUGAAGAACGUAGCGAAAUGCGAUAAGUAAUGUGAAUUGCAGAAUUCAGUGAAUCAUCGAAUCUUUGAACGCACAUUGCGCCCGCUAGUAUUCUGGCGGGCAUGCCUGUCCGAGCGUCAUUUCAACCCUCAAGCCCCCGGGCUUGGUGUUGGGGAUCGGCGAGCCUCCGCGCCCGCCGUCCCCUAAAUCUAGUGGCGGUCUCGCUGUAGCUUCCUCUGUGUAGUAGCACACCUCGCACUGGGAAACAGCGCGGCCACGCCGUUAAACCCCCAACUUCUGAACGUUUGACCUCGGAUCAGGUAGGAAUACCCGCUGAACUUAAGCAUAUCAAUAAGCGGAGGA